UGAAAAAGAAUGCACUCAGUCCUGCUGCAAC
rnacentral:piRNA from 1 species